rnacentral:lncRNA from 1 species
CUUCUUCUCCUCCUCUUCCUCCUCCUCCUCCUUUUCCACUUCUUCUUUCUCCUUCUCUUUCUCCGUCCUCUCGUGUUGUUUCAACUACCAACGAUAGCCGGAACGUAGGAAAGAAAGUUCUUGUCUUUUUACCGGAUGCAGGACCAACGUUAACUUGCUUCUCUUAUCUUUAGGAAGAGGCUAACGAUAUCUACGACCUCAACGUUCCGUUCCACGUUCAUUGUGGUUACUCUUCGGAAAGAGCACAUUGUUAGGAUUACUACUGAUAACAUUCAACCGCUAUUUCAAUUUGAUGAUUCUAUAGUAAUAGAAUCGUAGUAGUAUGAUAAAAAGAUCGUUUUUUAACAAACUUUUCUCUUUGUUGUUUAAUAAUAGUAUAAUAAAAAUUAUGAACUAAUAAUAAUAAUACUUCCGAGUCCGAGCAUGAAUUUCUUUGAGUAAGCAAAUCGUUAGAAAGGAUGCUUAUUAUCCGUGAUAUGCGGUGCGUUAUCGUUAUUCCGUUCGUCUCGCGCUUCUCACAUUAGUUACAAUGACCUUUUAACAGUGGCUCGUGCCGCCAGCAUACUACGCCGCUCCCGGACGAUGACCUAACCAUCAUCGUGUUGCAUUGUUUCAAUAUUAACUUAAAAACAGGAAAAAAUAAAAAUAAAAAAGACAAAAUGUACAAGAACAGGACGACAAAGAAAGAGAUCAUUUAUUAGGACGGUUUGAAACGCGCACAUACGUGGAAGUGGAAAUUAUGAUUGAUCAAAUAAAAAAGAAAGUUAAUGGUUUCUUUUGAAAUGAAAUAAUGUACGAACAUUCAAUGUACCAAUAAUAAAAUAAUAAUUAUAUAUAAUUUAGAAGAAUUUUGAGAUCGAAAGUUUUCCAAAUAUUUAUAUUUUCGAUAAUUAAUUCGUAAAGUAGUUACAUUAAUCGAGAAUAAGAGAGAAA